UAAUGAUAGUAAGCGCCUCAGGGGGUUGCUGGGAGGGUUCAAUGAGUUUAUACACACAAUGCGCUUAGAUGAUGUUUGGUACAUGGAAAACACUAUGUAUUGGUAUUAGUACUAUCAUCAGUACUAUUAAUAACAGGAGCUACAAGAAAUUAUAAUGGCAAACUCUAUGACAAAGGUAGGUUCAAGGCUGUGAAUGGGAUUAGAGAACAGGGUGGUUUCUAUGUGGAGUAGGAAAAUUCCACUGGUCAGGAUGGUGCAGGAUGAUUUGUUUAGGACGCCAGAGGGCAGUUAAUUGUGCGUGUCCGAGGCUGGCAGCCAAGGGAAGAGGAGAUGACACGACAGAUUAUAUUUCCUUGGCUUGGCUUCAGGCUCCAUCCCUGUCCCAUGAAUCAGCACUGUCUGAAGGAUACAGGAUUGGCAAAGCAAGGCUUGCAUUUCACAUCUCAUAUACCUUAAUGGGCCUGAUUUUGAUCAAGAAGUUCUGGAGACUAAAAGAUUCAGAGAAGAUCUGAAUGAAUUCAUUAAUCAUCUGCCCACUUAACAAAAAUCAGCGGAUUGGAUUUACUAACUACUGAUCUUGACUGGGAAAUAGAUGGGGAAACAGUGGAAACAGUGUCAGACUUUAUUUUUUUGGGCUCCAAAAUCACUGCAGAUGGUGACUGCAGCCAUGAAAUUAAAAGACACUUACUCCUUGGAAGAAAUGUUAUGACCAACCUAGAUCGCAUAUCCAAAGCAGAGACAUUGCUUUGCCGACUAAGGUCCGUCUAGUCAAGGAUAUGGUUUUUCCAGUAGUCAUGUAUGGAUGCGAGAGUUGGACUGUGAAGGCUGAGCACCGAAGAAUUGAUGCUUUUGAACUGUGGUGUUGGAGAAGACUCUUGAGAGUCCCUUGGACUGCAAGGAGAUCCAACCAGUCCAUUCUAAAGGAGAUCAGCCCUGGGUGUUCUUUGGAAGGAAUGAUGCUGAAGCUGAAACUCCAGUACUUGGCCACCUCAUGCGAAGAGUUGACUCAUUGGAAAAGACUCUGAUGCUGGGAGGGAUUGGGGGCAGGAGGAGAAAGAGACGACAGAAGAUGAGAUGGCUGGAUGGCAUCACUGACUCGAUGGACAUGAGUCUGAGUGAACUCCGGGAGAUGGUGAUGGACAGGGAGGCCUGGCGCGCUGCUAUUCAUGGGGUUGCAAAGAGUCAGACAUGACUGAAUGACUGAACUGAACUGAUCUUGACUGCUCUUUUUUUGCAUAUCAAAUGUAAGCUAUUCUGACCUUAUUAAGAUGAAGGAUUUUUGUCUUAAUGUUAAAUAUUGAAAAGUUAUAAAUACCUGAUUUACUUAUACCUGCAUUUUACUAAAUUCAGUGGCU
rnacentral:lncRNA from 1 species